UACGGAGGGGGCUAGCGUUGUUCGGAAUUACUGGGCGUAAAGCGUACGUAGGCGGUGACUCAAGUCAGAGGUGAAAGCCCGGAGCUCAACUCCGGAAUAGCCUUUGAAACUAGGUCGCUUGAACGUCGGAGAGGUGAGUGGAAUUCCGAGUGUAGAGGUGAAAUUCGUAGAUAUUCGGAAGAACACCAGUGGCGAAGGCGGCUCACUGGACGACUGUUGACGCUGAGGUACGAAAGCGUGGGGAGCAAACAGG
rnacentral:rRNA from 1 species